AGAGCGAACGCUGGCGGCAGGCUUAACGCAUGCAAGUCGAGCGGGCGUAGCAAUACGUCAGCGGCAGACGGGUGAGUAACGCGUGGGAACAUACCUUUUGGUUCGGAACAACACAGGGAAACUUGUGCUAAUACCGGAUAAGCCCUUACGGGGAAAGAUUUAUCGCCGAAAGAUUGGCCCGCGUCUGAUUAGCUAGUUGGUGAGGUAACGGCUCACCAAGGCGACGAUCAGUAGCUGGUCUGAGAGGAUGAUCAGCCACAUUGGGACUGAGACACGGCCCAAACUCCUACGGGAGGCAGCAGUGGGAAUAUUGGACAAUGGGCGCAAGCCUGAUCCAGCCAUGCCGCGUGAGUGAUGAAGGCCCUAGGGUUGUAAAGCUCUUUGUGCGGAAGAUAAUGACGGUACCGCAAGAAUAAGCCCGGCUAACUUCGCGCCAGCAGCCGC
rnacentral:rRNA from 1 species